AGGACGAACGCUGGCGGCGUGCCUAACACAUGCAAGUGGAGCGACGAACCAGGCUUCGGCCUGGGGCAAAGCCGCGAACGGGUGAGUAACACGUGGGUAACCUGCCUCGAUGAUUGGGACAACCCGAGGAAACUCGGGCUAAUACCGAAUGUGCCCUCCGGCCAUAAGGCUGCUGGGAAAGGAAGCUUCGGCCUCCGCAUCGAGAUGGGCCCGCGGCCCAUUAGCUUGUUGGUGAGGUAACGGCUCACCAAGGCGACGAUGGGUAGCUGGUCUGAGAGGACGAUCAGCCACACUGGGACUGAGACACGGCCCAGACUCCUACGGGAGGCAGCAGUGGGGAAUUUUCGGCAAUGGGGGCAACCCUGACCGAGCAACGCCGCGUGCAGGACGAAGGUCUUCGGAUCGUAAACUGCUUUUCUGUGGGAAGAGGAACGGACGGUACCACAGGAAGAAGCCCCGGCUAACUACGUGCCAGCAGCCGC
rnacentral:rRNA from 1 species